AAAAUCCGUCGACUUUAUAAGUCGUGAGGGUUCAAGUCCCUCUAUUCCCCA
rnacentral:tRNA from 1 species